GAGGAGAAGGGAAGAUCUAAGCUUCCAGUUACGGAAUGAGUAAGUCGCGGACAUAAAAGGCACAGCAUAGGGAAUAUAGUCAAUGGUAUUGUA